GAUUAAAUGGCUGAUAAAAGUAAUAGAUUGUAAAUCUAUCAAUGAAAUUUAAAAUUUCUUUAAUCA
rnacentral:tRNA from 1 species